rnacentral:rRNA from 1 species
GUCGAACGGAAUGAGGGGGCUUGCUCCUUCAUUUAGUGGCGCACGGGUGAGAAACGCGUGGAUAAUCUGCCUGACGAUCCGGGAUAACAUUUCGAAAGGGGUGCUAAUACCGGAUAAGCCCACGGGUUCUUCGGAGCCUGCGGGAAAAGGGGGGGACCUUUUGGCCUUCUGUCGUCAGAUGAGUCCGCGUACCAUUAGCUAGUUGGUAGGGUAAAGGCCUACCAAGGCUACGAUGGUUAGCUGGUUUGAGAGAAUGAUCAGCCACACUGGAACUGAGACACGGUCCAGACUCCUACGGGAGGCAGCAGUGGGGAAUUUUGCGCAAUGGGCGAAAGCCUGACGCAGCAACGCCGCGUGAGUGAUGAAGGCUUUCGGGUCGUAAAGCUCUGUCAGGGGGAAAGAAGUGUACGGAGGUUAAUACCCUCUGUACUUGACGGUACCCCCAAAGGAAGCACCGGCUAACUCCGUGCCAGCAGCCGCGGUAAUACGGAGGGUGCGAGCGUUGUUCGGAAUUAUUGGGCGUAAAGCGCGUGUAGGCGGUUUGUUAAGUCUGAUGUGAAAGCCCCGGGCUCAACCUGGGAAGUGCAUUGGAAACUGGCAGACUUGAAUACGGGAGAGGGUAGUGGAAUUCCUAGUGUAGGAGUGAAAAUCCGUAGAUAUUAGGAGGAACACCGGUGGCGAAGGCGGCUGCCUGGACCGAUAUUGACGCUGAGACGCGAAAGGUACCCUGGUGCCCGCCGUAAACAUGA